rnacentral:snRNA from 1 species
AUCGCUUCUCGGCCUCUUGGCUAAGAUCGUUUGCAGUUUCUGUUCUUAUCAGCUUAAUAUCUGAUAUGGCCCUCCGUGGGUCUUGGAUAUUAGUUGAAUUUUUGCAGGUCGGUGCUCGUAGGAGCUUGCUCCGCGUGCGCCACGGGUCGUCCUGACAUUGCACUGCAGUCUGGUGCGGCCCAGUCCCC